GUAAGAUUUAGUAAGAUGAACAAAGGAAGAAAGAGUAGAGAACAAUGAUACACAAACCAACAACAGAAAACAAAGAAAGCAGAAGAUAGAAGACAGAGGUUAAAAAAGAUUUCCAUCUGAUUUCUUUUCUGAUCUUGGUUUGCGUAUUCCUGUUCUUCUCUUUGGUCUCUGGAAAGCCAGUUCCAAUAGCGAAUAAGAAGAUUGAUUUUAAAAAUCACAAAUCCAACAAAAUCAGACGGAAACUACAUUUUUCUUGUGCAGAAUUGUCGCAGCAUUACAAAUAUCUAAGCAGUUUCGCCUUGUUAUCAAUAAUAGUUUUUGAGAAUACUCAAUGUUUGAUAUAAUUUUUCAAAAAAAUGUUUCUGAUUACAAGUACUGGGAUAGUACUGGGAGUCCAGACAUAAAACAGACCCAAAUUAGAUUUUUCUUUUGAAAAGUUGUUCAUGAAUUUCAAAUAUAUAAUCAGAUUCUAGUUGUCAUUAAUAGAUAUUUUAGAUUUUAAUGGAUCCGGAUAGAAGCAUAGAAAAUAGAAGAAAAUAAAUAUAACAAAAAACAGAGGGGAUAAUAAAGAAAUCAAAAAGGAGGAACAGAAAAUAUUGAAGUUCGAAGUCGUGUCUAAUUUAGAUAAGCAGUAAUUUUGUAUUAUGUUGUUUUAGGAAUAAAUAAAUAAUAGCAAA